GCCUGGCUGGCUCAGUUGGCAGAGCAUGGGGCUCUUGAUCUUAGGGUUGUGAGUUUGAGCCCCACGUUGGGUA
rnacentral:tRNA from 1 species